GUUGGUCACGGCCGGGCGUUCGGGGCGGGGCCGCGCACUCUGAUUGGCCUCCGGUGGUCCUGUUUGAACUCAACUUGAAAACCCGGAGUGCCUGCUGAUUGGCCGAGGGCCCUCUGUUUGCUGUUGUAGGCUUGGGGGUGGUGCGGCCAAGUUCAUUCAUUACUUCAUUGAAACAGAACAUGCUCAGCUGGAAAAGCAAGACAGAGUGGCUUUGACUCAUUUCCUCUGAAAGAUGUGGUCAUCUCGAGAAACAGAAUGAUCAAAAUAGAAAACAGAGCCUUUGCAGCUGCUCAAGUCUCAAAAGCAUGUAAUUUUUAAAAAUAACUUUCAAGCAGUCCAAUUUAAAAAAAUCUUUUAUUGAAAUAUAACGUACAUUAGGAAAGUGCGAUGUCGCAGGUACAGCUUCCAGACUUUUCACCAAGUGAACACCCAGAUCAAUUAACAGAACGUUACUUGCACCCUAGGAACCCGCGUCCUGCCCUCUUCUAAUCACUACCCACCGCAAGGAUCGAGCAGUAUUUUCUCAGUUUUUAGACCAAAGACUUUGCUCUCUGAAGAUGGAAGCCAAGAUUUAUGUACAAUAAAUACGAUAUGCAAGGAAAUAUGCAAGGAAAAAAGUGAGACUUUCUCAGUGGCCAAAAUGCCAAGUCAAGAAUUUUUUCUUGUUAAAUCGGUUGACCUAACUGAAGCUUUAAUUUUCUUUUUUUUUUUUUCUCUUGCUUGUCACGAAAGCUAAGAUGAAGCUUUAAUUUCUACCAUCUUUUAAAAAAACAACGGGUGGCAGUAGGGGUGGAGUCUGGGGUUGGGAUGGCUUACACCUAUAAUCCCAGCACUUUGGGAGGCCGAGACAGGAGGAUAACUUGAGGCCGGGAGUUCAACACCAGCUUGGGCAACAUAGCACAGACUCCAUCUCUACCAAAUAAAAACAAACAAUAACAAACAGUGAGUGUUUCUACAGAGAUACUGUUUCUCAGUGGUAGCCCUUUAAAGUCCAAAAUUUGGUGGUGGUGGUUGUUAGAUAGGGCUAGAGUGACAUGAUCAUGGCUCACUGUAACUUCGAGCGAUCCUCUUGCCUCAGCCUCUCGAGUAGCUGGGACUACAGGCACACACCACCAUGCCUGACUAAUUUUUGAAUUUUUGGUAGAGAUGAGAUCUCACUAUUGUUGCCCAGGCUGGUCUUGAACUCCUGGACUAAAGUGAUCCUCCUGCCUCAGCCUCCCAAAGCACAGGGAUUACAGGUGUGAGCCACCAUGCCUGGCCCCAAAUUUGUUUGUAUGUGCUGAGCUUCCAUCUUCUGGAUUAGAGUUUGAUCUUCAGGGCUGUGUUUGAGAAUUGUGGGGGUAGGAAAAGAACUAGGAGUUUAAGCAGAUUGGGGAAGGGGCAGAAGAGAUUGGGAAGAUAAAUAUUGUUAGGGAUUCACUGUUAAGAGUUUCUGUUUCAGGAGAACUUUGUGAGUUUUUUAUCUGAACUACUAAUUACAGAGUGUAUUUUAACCAGCUAAAGGUCUGCAGAACAGAAGGAGGCUUAUAAUAAGAAAGCACGUCGUGGUUCUAUCUUGACUUUGCCUAAAUUGGAUUUAACUCCCUAUCUAAGAAAACUUGACAGUAUGUAUUUUUAAAGUUUACAAACAAGAAGAAGAUUACAAUUAAUGUUAAUGUUUCUGUACUGAUGAAAAACAAAUUCAGGUACUAUCAUGAGCUCAUUCCAUUUGGUUCGUUUUUUGUUUAUUUGUUUGUUUUGAAGGAGUAGGAGUCAGCUUUUUCCUGGGAAUGGCCCUGAAGUACACGUGGGCUGGGACCUGGCGUGUGGCUGGAGACUCCAGUAUAGCUUGCAGCCUUCCCGUCCAGUAAUUGCAAGGUGAAAACAAAAGUGAGCAGCUGGCAGCAUACACUGCCAGGGAGCUCAGGCCGCAAGCAGCCCAGAAGAAGGAAGUACUGUCACUGUGGGGCUCCAGGUUUUCAUAAGUACAUGCGGGUGUCAAACAUGCCAGGGCCGUGAGUAGGAGGGUCUACCCUGGGGAGAGACAUUUCUGGCUGUAGUGGAAUGUCCCCUAUGAGCCCGUAGGUCUUAAUUCAGAAGUAAGUUCCCAAGGAAAGCAAGAGUCCAAAGUUGCCAAACCUGUUAUUUCCUGGAAAUCAAGGCAGUUUAUCCAGUUUAUGUAAUGUUUAACAAUUGCAGGGCCCAGCUGUGGGCACCUGGGCGGGGCAUGGAGGGCAAGGCCCCCAAGCCAGAGAGACUCAGGUACUAGUUAUCUUCUGUGGGCCUAAGGUCACUCAGGAAGAAGGAAGGAGAGCAACAGAGCCCGUGAUUUGUGGUCCUGAGACAUGGAAGUGCUUAAUCCAUAUUUUGGCUUCUGAGAAUCCGGUUGGAGAUGAGUAGCUGGGAAACUUAGGACUGUCCCACUCCUGGGAGAAUGAAUGAGGUCAUGUUUGUAGAGGGCUUUGAGCUGAUGGGAGGAAAGCAACUUCCUAAAUGCAAGGUAUUAUUAACUGAAGGUACUAUUAUUUUAAUCUGAGAGGACAAUGUAUGGUAGGUAAAAUAGAGCAACUUUGGGAGGCCGAGGCGGGUGGAUCACGAGGUCAGGAGAUCGAGACCAUCCUGGCUAACAUGGUGAAACCCUGUCUCUGCUAAAAAUACAAAAAAUUAGCCAGGCAUGGUGGCAGGCGCCUGCAGUCCCAGCUACUCGGGAUGCUGAGGCAGGAGGAUGGCAUGAACCUGGGAGGCAGAGCUUGCAGUGAGCCGAUUUUGUGCCACUGCACUCCAGCCUGGGUGACACAGCGAGACUCCAUCUCAAAAAAAAAAAAAGGCUUGAAUCACAAAUAAAACAUGGUAUCCUCAGAAAGAAAAUCCUUGUUACAUCAAUGGUCUGGGCUCCAGGACAAGCGGUGAGGCAGCAACCAAGAAGAGAAACAAUCUUAGCAGUAUUUCCUCCGUUCCCGGAUGACAAGGUUGUUGUGAAUGCAAGUCAUUGAAUGAGUCCUGAAACAGGCACACAAUAGCCGGACCAUAACAAGCAGCUGCCAGUUACCAAGCACUUCCUGUGAGCCAGGCAGCUCUCUAAGACUUGAAUGUCUAUUAACUCAUUUCAAUCCUCCCCCAAAUCCAGAAUCUCAUUUCACAGAUGGGGCUGCUGAGGGACAGUGGAGGGGAAGAGUGUCCAGCGGUGGAGCGAGGCAGUGGUUAGCUCACCCAUGCUACCUCCCUUCCCGCUGCAGCUGUCACUUCCGUGGGACUCUCAAAGGGCCCCUUCCCCAAAAGAUCUAUAGAGGGCACUAAGAGUUCCACUGGAGAUGCUUGAAAUGAGUGAACCCUCCCCGCCUCUGUGGGGAUGGGGAGAAAAGGACACCAGCUCUCUUGGGUAAUGGGUUUGGGGGAAGGGUAGAGAACUGGCAUUCCCAACCUCCAUCUCUGCAGUGCGUUAAAUUCUUGUUCUGGCCGGGCGCAGUGGCUGACACCCGUAAUCCUAGCACUUUGGGAAGUCGAGGCGGGCGGAUCACUUGAGGUCGGGAGUUCAAGACCAGCCUGGCCUAUAUGGUGAAACCACCGUCUCUACUAAAAAAAAAAAAAAAUACAAAAAUUAGCCAGGCGUGGUGGUGCGUGCCUGUAGUCUGUAAUCCCAGCUACUCGGGAGGCUGAGGCACGAGAAUUGCUUGAACCCCGUAGGUGGAGGUUGCAGUGGGCCGAUAUCGUGCCACUGCGCUCCAGCCUGGGCGACAGAGUGAGACUCUGUCUCAAAAAUAAUGACAAUAAAAAAUAAAAAUAAAUUUUUGUUCCUUUCUUCCUCCUUUCCACCUCUUAUUUCCCUAAAUCCAAACAGAUCCAACAAAGCUGAAAGAUGGAAUCUGAGGGCUCUCAGAACUCCCAAUAGGCCCAAGGCUCAGAGAGGAAACAAAAUCCACUCAAGGUCAUGAACACUCGCUUUUCCCUGCUGACUGAUGGUAGCACUGGGAUUCGAUUCAGAUGCCAGGACAAAAGGACAAGGUGGCCAAGAGAAGUAGAAAGGUGUUGAGAGGAGAAGGAGAAUGGGAAAGGGCCAAUAAGAAGACAAUGAAAACAAGCAGCGCCAAGGCAGCUGGGCCAGGCUGGACUCACACACUCCCUGAAGGCUCGGGUCCAGGAGGCACUGGUGGUGCGAUGGUUUUCUUCUCCUUUUGAGGAUUUCCAACGCUAUUGCUAGCCUUUGUUUGUUUAACAUAACCUAUUUUUUGCUGCUAUUUUUCCUUGCAAAUUUAUGCUUUGUUUUUCUUUUUUUGGAGACAACUUCUCGCUCUAUCACCCAGGCUGGAGUGCAGUGGUACGACUUCGGCUACUACAACCUCUGCCUCCUGGGUUCAAGCGAUUCUCGUGCCUCAGCCUCCCUAGUAGCUGGAACUACAGGCAUGCGCUGCCACACCCGGCUAAUUUUUGUAUUUUCAGUAGAGACAAGGUUUUGCCAUGUUUUCCAGGCUGGUCUCGAACUACCUGCCUCAAGCGAUCUGACCGCCUCGGCUUCUGAAAGUGCUGGGAUUACAGGUUCAAUUUUCCCUGCUCUAAGGAGCCUUCUUGGAUUAUCUCCUUAUGACCUGUGGUUGCUCGUUUGGGUCAGAGUCGCUGUCUGAGGUCACAGAAAACGGAAAAAGGGCCAGCCCUUGCUUGGAGGAAUCUACCUUGCUGCAAUAUACAAGCCAUAAGCCAUAACGAUGUCCUCUCUGGCACUUUGCACCAUAUGGAACAUGCCAGCAGACAAUGAGAGGACUGAAGAGCUGAGCAUCGGCAAUGAAACGCUUAGCCUGGGAGCACAGCACACGCUGCAUAACGACCUUUCUGUCAAUGAUGGGUUGCGUCUGUGAAGCCCAGAGUGGAGGACGAAAUUAACAAUGAGGAAUUCACACUCAGCAAAAAGCAAAAUAUGAAAGCCUGAUUGCGGAUUUCCUAAUGGACAAGAUUAUUUUCCUCUACAGAGAGCCUUAGGUUGCCAGAGGAACCAUCUGCAGGGCCCCAAAGCAUUUAGGAUCAGACUAUUCUGUCGACGUUAGCCUAGCCCACUGAUCUGGAGCAGGAUGUGACAUUCUCCGCUGGUGGUUUUGGCUUCAAUCCACCGAAGCCACAUGUCGAGGACUAAAAGAGGGAUCGGGCCCAUGUGUGGCUGAUUGGGCCCUAUCUUCUGGAGAGAGCUGGUACUCAUUAAGAACAGCCAAGAUUCUCAUCUUCCUGUCCCAAAAUCAGAGACCUUUCUUAGCUCUUUCAGGUCACCUGAGAUACUGGUUUGCCUCCCAAACCCUGCUGCCUCAGGAAUGCUGUGCUGCAGGGCUGUGUCUGUCAGUUUCCACCUGCAGGCUCCCUCACUCCUUCCUGCACUAAGCUAAUCAUUGCAUGUGUUACAAGGGUGGAAAUGGCACAUCUGGGCUGAAACCAGGACAGCAACAUGAACAAAAUGAAAAGUCCAAAGGGACAAGCUCACCUAAAAAUUACUUGUCCCCGUACUUCCCCCACCCUUCUCCUUUCUCCCUUAGACCCAAGUUGCAGAAGAAGAGCUUCAAUGUGAUAGAAAUACCUGGCUUUGCCCCUUGCCUUCCAGGGAUGUUUAGAGAAAACCGCUGAGACCCUUGGAUGUUGUGUUGUCUGCUGGGAUUCUCCCAAGGGCUGCAUCCAUAGUGUGGAAAUGGAUAGGGUGCUACAAGGCUAUUUCCACAAAGCACGUGUGGUAUUUGCAUGUGAUUUCCCUAUGCACACUGUGCAACCCCUCCCCAGACCAUUUUUCAAGUUAAAAACAUUUUUAUGGCUCUCUUGGUGCAGUCACUUCUGGAUUUUUCCUCCUAUCUGAGCUGCCUUCUCCCUCGGGCACUCUCCCUGGCCCAGAUCUUUGGCGAGGGAGCCAAGUGGAGCCAGGGAAGAACCAUAGAGGAAUGCAGGACUCAGCCCCUCUAGAGUCGGCUGCUCCGAGGGUCUAGCUGCUUAUCUCGCCUUUGCCCAGGGCACUGGCUGAGAUUCUAUUUCCAAAAUUGUUCACACUAGGUGAUUACACUGUAGACUGUGGGACUGUAGCUCAAUUCACAAAAAGUCUCUUUGAUCUAGAAGUUUCUAAACUGCCUUCUAUCCGUUUCUCUUCUGUCUCUGGUCAACAUUCUUUUAAAAAUGAGUCUUGGCUGGGUGUGGUGGCUCACGCCUUUAAUCCCACCACUUUGGGAGACCAAGGCGAGCGGAUCACCUGUGGUCAGGAGUUGGAGACCAGCCUGGACAACAUGGUGAAACUCCAUCUCUACUAAAAAUACAAAAGUUAGCCGGGCGUGGUGGCGGGCGCCUGUAGUCCCAGUUACUCAGGACGCUGAGGCAGGAGAAUCACUUGAACCCGGAAGGUGGAGGUUGCAGUGAGCCGAGAUCACACCAUUGCACUCCAACCUAGGCAGCAGAGUGAGGCUCUGUCUCAAAAACAAAACAAAACAAAAGAGUCUUGAUUCACUUAUUGCAUCUUUGCAAUAACCAUUGGAGACUGGGCUAUUUUCAGAGGAGGAAACGGAGACCGUUUCUAAGGGCUUAAGUCAAAGUUACAUAGCUGCUUAGGGGUUUGAUUUGUCCAACUCAAAGUCUAGUGCUCUUUCUGUGCCUCAUUCUCUUCGACUGUAAAAUCGGGGUGUAAAUAGCAUGUAUUUGAUAGGGUUGUUGGGAGGGUUGAAUGCUUUAAUACGUGUGAAGUGUUUAAAACAGCCUGGCACAUAGAGUGUUCCAUAAAUAUCCACUAAUUUUAUUGUGCUAUGCCUUGUUUUUCUUUACUAUUCUAAGCAUUGGACUCAUGACUCCUUCGUGGGAGGAGGAACCAACUUCUAGGCUUGGGGAGUAUUAUUCAAGAUGGAGAAGCUGGCUUCCCAGGGUCAGGCCAAGGUGGGACCAGAAGAGACACCCCAUAAGCAACAGGACUGGGCUGCUUGACUAAGCCACAUCCCUGCCUGGCCCUGGCUAAGCAGAAGAAACUCUCAGACAUGGAUAAACCCACAAAGGGAAGGGAUGUCCCGUUUACAAAAUGCCGAGGGCAGGAAGAACCAAGGCUUCUGAACAGAGCCGAGGAGCAUAAGGCAACAUUUUACUCUGUGAUGUGUCGAAGGCCUUGUGUUUUGAGGUGGUUCUAGAUUCUUAUUUGCAUUUUACCUUUACCCAGCAGUUACAAGGUAGGGCCUGUGUGUGCUGAAAGGAGUAUGGAGGAGGACACCAGUUCCCUCCCACAGGGAUGACUGAAAGCCCUGGAGUAGUUAGGACCAGGGACUCUGCCAGAGAGCUCUGGUGCUUGGGAGAAGCUGCCGGGGCAGGGACUUGCCCUGUAACCCAAGCCUUCGUUAGCAGCAGCCAAUAUAAAUGACAGGGAUGUGUUCCCACCAUCCUGAGGACCCUGGAGGAAACCAAGGCACUUAGCAUCAGGUCUGUUGGCUGCUGCUGAAAAGACGGCAAUGAAAAAUACGAAAUGUGCCGGGCGCGGUGGCUCACGCCUGUAAUCCCAGCGCUUUGGGGGGCGGAGGUCAGGAAUUGGAGACCAGUCUGGCCAGCAUGGUGAAACCCCAUCUCUACUAAAAGUAGAAAAAUUAGCCGGGUGUGGUGGCACAUGCCCGUAGUCUCAGCUACUCGGGAGGCUGAGGCAGGAGAAUCCCUUGAACCCAGGAGGCGGAGGUUGCAGUGAGCUGAGAUCACGCCACUGCACUCCAGCCUGGGCGACAGAGGGAGACUCCGUCUCAAAACACAGAAAAACAAAAACAAAAUAUAACCAGGAAAGACCUAGACUCCGUAAAAUAGCUUUACAAACCUAAUCAAGGGAACCAGACACCCCAAACUGUACUUCGAACACUGUUGAAAAGUUGUGAAAGUCAUGUUCUAGCAGUUGAAAUGUUUGCUGAUCAGUCCACUCUCUCAGGAAAAAAAACACCAGACCCACAAAGAAAAUAGAAGGUUUAAAACACAAAUGUCUGUAAUUAAGCAAUGGAAUGACGUCUUCCGCCGGCCCAAGCUUCCCACUGUUGUGUGUGUUUUUAUCAACAGGAGCUCCCGGUUCUGCCUGGCCCGGUUCGCUUUCGCCUGCGUUGACUCUCUUGGCACUCAGGCCUUUCCAAAGUUUCCGGGGUCCCGUUUCCACGAUACAGACAGAGGCUGGAUGUCUUGAUCUUAUCCUCAGUCGAUGUUCUCCUAACUUUAGGGCUACAAGGAGCCUUAAACAGCAUGUAUAGAGUUGGGAGCGCUUUGAAUAGACGCACGUGAGAGGGAGGCGGCAUCUUCCUAGCCGGUCACCAGCAUUAACACGGGGCAGGAGACAUGCGAAUGCACCGUGGGACCCCUCUCCCUACCCCCCUGCAUGAGAUUUCCGAAGACCUCCGCCGGCCGACGCUGAGGGGCGGGGUUGGGAAGGCUUCCUCCAGGCGCGGGAGCAGCGGAGCGGGGACCGCCCGCUUUGGGACGCCCAGGACAAUGGCGAGCGAGCUCCCGGCCAGUCCUCGCGGACCGCGGG